rnacentral:ncRNA from 1 species
GUUUCAGGGCAGGGUGUGAUUCCCUACCGGCGGUACAGCCCGCGAGCCGCAAGGCAUGAUCCGGUGAGAUUCCGGAGCCGACAGUAUAGUCUGGAUGGGAGAAA